UGAUCCUUUUUAGCAGGUGGAUUAAGUCUAUCAUCUCUGCAGUCCCUGGCUUCCAUCAGUCUUGAGUCUUUGGAUUCGUUGGCACUGGAGAAGCUGGUGGUACAGGUAAACACUUCAAAGACUGAGGAAGAAGAUGCACUUGAGCUCCCCUCAAAGCACUUUAGCAAGGAAGUACAACUGACCCAUCAAUGAAAUUCACUGUACAGCAAAUGCUGGUGGGAGCCGUAACAUUUAGUGUAAGGACUCUGUUGUAGGCUGGAGGAAGAGGAAGACUGCAAUAAACAGGACUACUGGUGUUCUCCCCACUUUCCUGGGUGCACAGUGGGACUUCUCCCACUGCUGCUGAUGCCCCAGAUGAUGUCCUUGAGGGAGGAGCAGCCUCAGCCAUU